AUUGAACGCUGGCGGCAUGCUUUACACAUGCAAGUCGAACGGUAACAGGGUGCUUGCACCGCUGACGAGUGGCGAACGGGUGAGUAAUGCGUCGGAACGUGCCGAGUAGUGGGGGAUAACGCAUCGAAAGAUGUGCUAAUACCGCAUACGUACUGAGGUAGAAAGUGGGGGACCUUCGGGCCUCACGCUAUUCGAGCGGCCGACGUCUGAUUAGCUAGUUGGUGAGGUAAAGGCUCACCAAGGCGACGAUCAGUAGCGGGUCUGAGAGGAUGAUCCGCCACACUGGGACUGAGACACGGCCCAGACUCCUACGGGAGGCAGCAGUGGGGAAUUUUGGACAAUGGGCGCAAGCCUGAUCCAGCCAUGCCGCGUGUCUGAAGAAGGCCUUCGGGUUGUAAAGGACUUUUGUCCGGGAGCAAAUACCCAGUGCUAAUAACGCUGGGGGCUGAGAGUACCGGAAGAAUAAGCACCGGCUAACUACGUGCCAGCAGCCGCCGUAACAC
rnacentral:rRNA from 1 species